CUUCCAACACAAACUCUUGACCUCUGUAUUUUCUCUUGUCGGUAGUUUGCAGUUACUUUGGUGUGUGGGCAAUAAGAUUAGGGUGGUGUUGGUUGAUAAUUAUUAUCCUCACUCCCCUGCUAUCUUGGUGGGAUGAGCCCUUCUUCAUUUAAAUGGAUACAAUAAUUGAUUUUAAGGAGUCAUCCCCAACCCGAAGGUGAUGAUAUGAAAUGUGACCUUUAGUGAGGGCUCUGUCGGUGUGCGGGCUCAUAAGCAGGUCCAGCUGAGCAGUAUUUUAACCUGACUCAACAAGUUAAUAAAAACUGCUGGCAAAAGCACUUGAACUGCAUGCAGUGACUGCUGGGACACGAGGGGAAAACUGUCGAUAUGAAGAGGUAUGUUUUUAUUGAAUGAGUUCAGCGUCGUAUUCCUGGAAUGUUUAUCGUUGUACAUGUUCCUCUGUCCCUAAAGUUAUGCAAAAAGUCAAUUAGACAUGACCCUAUCAACCGAUUAUGCAUAAACCAAUGCUAAGUGGUACAAUGGGUUUGACCUGGAGCUUGGUAUUCUAGCGAUGGGAUUAGUUUAUUUUCGUUUCCCAGCAUGCAUUGAUACUGAGACUUUAUGUUUUCGCGUCUUGUAAGAGUUAAUUGUGAUUGUUAUGUGUUGUUGAAUUCUGGUUAUUAUUUCUAUUUGUUUUGUUGUGAAAUUAAGCACUGCAACCAGAAAUGACUACGUUGUUUUGGUUGUUGACCCACUAUUAGUCUUCAUUUUCAGUAAGUCUGUCUCUAGCAGUUUCACUGACAAAUCAAGAAACUCUGCACAUACCAUUGGGUCUACCUUCAUCGCUAAAAACAAGUAAUGGAUAUCUUCCGCUUAUUUUAUGUGCUUUCGGAAUGAGUGUUCAUUUGCUCGGCUCCAAUUCUGUCCACUGUAUGGGCUUCAACUAGCCUGGCUAUUGUCAGACCAAGCUCAAGAUUGUACGUUGGUCUGGGGAAGCUGCUGUCAUCUUUUUAUCAGCACAAGAGGCGUGAUCAAUGGGCCUAGUUCAAAUUACUCUCUAUGCAAUUGGCUGCUUGCCGUCGCUUCCCUGUCGUCAUUGUGUUAAACCAGCCAAUGGCGCGCCAGUUGGAAAAGCCAGCUUGGUGAUUGGCUCCCGCAAAAACGUAUCAACACUAGAAAGAAAUGUAUUGCUUUUCUGCAGGGCAAACUCAAAUCGCCAGCAGAAUGGGCGGGGCUACCCAGUCUAGGCUUCAACCCAACCAGCCUUUGGAGUAGGCUAAACGAGAACUCGUCUGCUCCACUUUGUCUCUGCAGUGGGUCUGCGGUGGUUUGGUGUGCGGCCACAGAGAAGGUCAGAUUAGUGUGGUGCUGGCUGGUACUGAAUGUUUUCCCUCACUCCCCUCCUCUGCUAUCACCAGAGCUGCUUAGUCUGUCCGUCUACUGUCCCUUCCAAAUGAAUCAAACUGCUUGUAGGAGCUCUUGAACUGCAUCCAGUGACUGCUGCAUUUAUUUGAAGUGUGUAUUUGAGUGUACCUGUCAUUCGGGACUCUGUCAUCCCCGGGGCUACAAAUCCUGCCUUCCUUACAAUCCACCUGUAGGCGUCUCAGAGCAAGAUUCAUAAA